UUUUAACUGAUAGUAGUAUAGGUUAGAUACAGCGCAGGUGAUAAAUAGCUAUUGACCGGAUGAGACAGGUCAGGAUAACCCGGCUCUGGAUCUGUAUCAUUCCAACUCUCCCCAACCAGGACGUUCUAAAUCGGCAGCCAGUUCACAGAAACACAACUCUAUGUGGCCUUUCCGGGGAACUUCAGUCCAGAUCAGCCAGAAUCCCGCAAAUAACACGUGGCAACGACAACUAACCCCGAGAGUCAGUUGCAUCAGUGACGCGGAGAGGCCGGGAGACGUUGACAGCGACACAGCCGGAACUCGAGCUGAAGUUUGUCUUUCUGCGGGGCAGAC
rnacentral:lncRNA from 1 species